GUGCUCUCUUCAGCAGCACAUGUACUAAAUUGGAACCAUACAGGGAAGAUUACCAUGGCCCCUGUGCAAGGAUGACAGGCAAAUUCGUGUAGCGUUCCAUAUUUUU